AGGGGCGAGCGGCAUGGAUGCCGCGAGAGCCGUGAAGGGCCAUGGAUGGCCCUUACGCGGCGACCCU
rfam:Pseudomonas stutzeri strain 28a24, complete genome.